GGAUGCGAUCAUACCAGCACUGAAGCACCGGAUUCCAUUAGAACUCUGAAGUUAAGCGUGCUUGGGCGAGAGUAGUACUAGGAUGGGUGACCUCCUGGGAAGUCCUCGUGUUGCAUUCC
rnacentral:rRNA from 1 species